rnacentral:rRNA from 1 species
GACGAACGCUGGCGGCGUGCUUAACACAUGCAAGUCGAACGGAAAGGCCCUGCGUUUGUGGGGUGCUCGAGUGGCGAACGGGGGAGUAACACGUGAGUAACCUGCCCUUGACUUUGGGAUAAAUUCAGGAAACUGGGGCUAAUACCGGAUAGGAGCUCCUGCUGCAUGGUGGGGAUUGGAAAGUUUCGGCGGUGGGGGAUGGACUCGCGGCUUAUGAGCUGGUUGGUGGGGUAGUGGCUGACCAAGGCUUUGACGGGUAGCCGGCCUGGGAGGGUUGACGGCCACAUUGGGACUGAGAUACGGCCCAGUAUCCUACGGGAGGCAGCAGUGGGGAAUAUUGCACAGUGGGCGGAAGCCUGAUGCGGCAGCGCCGCGUGCGGGAUGACGGCCUUCGGGUUAUAAACCGAUUUCGCCUGUGACGAAGCGUGAGUGACGGUAAUGGGUAAAGAAGCACCGGCUAACUACGUG